UACGUAGGGUGCGAGCGUUGUCCGGAAUUAUUGGGCGUAAAGAGCUCGUAGGCGGUCUGUCGCGUCGGUCGUGAAAACUUGGGGCUUAACCCUGAGCUUGCGGUCGAUACGGGCAUGACUGGAGUUCGGUAGGGGAGACUGGAAUUCCUGGUGUAGCGGUGAAAUGCGCAGAUAUCAGGAGGAACACCAGUGGCGAAGGCGACACGCUGGGCCGUACCUGACGCUAAAGCGCGACAGCAUGGGGAGCAAACGGG
rnacentral:rRNA from 1 species